UACAGAGGGGGCAAGCGUUGUUCGGAAUUACUGGGCGUAAAGGGCGCGUAGGCGGCCUUCUAAGUCGAACGUGAAAUCCCCGGGCUCAACCCGGGAACUGCGUCCGAUACUGGAAGGCUUGAAUCCGGGAGAGGGAUGCGGAAUUCCAGGUGUAGCGGUGAAAUGCGUAGGAUAUCUGGAGGAACACCGGUGGCGAAGGCGGCAUCCUGGACCGGCAUUGACGCUGAGGCGCGAAAGCCAGGGGAGCAAAGCGGG
rnacentral:rRNA from 1 species